AGCGCUCAGAAAAGACUUUAAGGAACUGUUCUUGUUUAGACUAGGAGUGAGACUAAAAGAAAAUAUAAUUAUAAACAUUGAGUAUAAUAAAAGUUGAAAUAAAGUGGUUAAUAGUCAAUUAUUUGUGUGUGCCCUUGGAGGGUGAAACAAAUUGGUAUAAUUUGUAGCACUUGAGAAGAAGCAUUAACAGAAAGGACAGGUAGCUAGUGGAAGACAACACCUCGGGAAGAUAUUGAUUCCACAUUAGCAGGAAAUUUAAGAACAGAUUAAAACAAACAUCAGGGAAGCCGCAAGUACACAGUGGGUGGAUACACCUAUACUGUCUCUGGUAGUAAAACAUUAUUUGCUGAACUUUGGGUACCUUCAAUUGAGAUGAUGCAACAGUAAUCUCAACUCUGCGCUGUCUGUGCAUUUCCCCUUAAAGAAACCAACAGCACUGUCCCAGCAUGUAAAUGGUGAGCACAAAGGGCAGAGCAGAACACCAGGAAGAAUUUUUUAGCCAAUCUGGAACAAGAGGAUAGGCACGUCUAGAGACAUCUUGAGUCUCUUGGAUUGCUAAUUUUCUAGUAUGAACUCUCAGAAGCAAUUCACGUUUUUAUUUUAGACCAUGAAAUGUGCAAUGAACUACUAGUUGAUAUAUUCUUGUACAUAACGAAAUGGCUAUUUCAUUAAUCAAAUUCAAAGUUUAGAUCCUCAAAACACUUCCUCAAUUAUUUUCCAACCUAUCAAUUUCCACCAGAAAAUGUACUGUGUACCAAGAUACCUGGUUCCAGAUCUCAAGUAUUUCUAAAUAUUAAUUUAAUCUUGAACUUAAACUUGUUUGUAUUAUCUGUAUAUAUCCUGCCCUUCUAUGUAGGACAGACAUUUCACAAAGAGGGAACAGGAUGACUUAAAAUCAUCCUCCAAACUAUCUGAUGCGGAUGAAGAUGUUUAUGAGACAGUAAGUUCUUCCACUCUGGAGGCUGCCCAAGAUUUGAGAAUCCUUCCUCCCAAACCUCAACAGGAUUCCGUAUAUGCAGAUAAACACUGUCUGAAGACAUCAGGUACUACCCACACAAGCAGUAACCCACCUCAGCCCCCUCAGUACUUGCCUAAACAUAAGUCUGCUCUAGAGGCGAGGAACGCACCAAAUGUUGAAGGAGAAAGAGUGAAAGUAUACGGACUCCAGCAACCCUUGCCUCCCCCACGGCCUCUGAAGACACUGCCAAAACAGUAUCAUCCACUUCCUCCAGCACCGAAGAUAAGCAGCCAUGUCCUCCACACCAGGGAAACACCCAGCCAGUCUCAUGCUUUUCCAGUAUCAGCAAAGCCCACAAGGCAUCCAUCUUUUAGAGACCUGAAUGAAGUAAGUAAUCAUCUUUGUAUAUAUUAUUACUGCCAAAACCAUACACUGUUCAGGGCUGCACAUCUUCUGGUGUAACAGUAUUUCAGUCAUGACUUAGCCUGGUAGGUAAAAAACACUAUAAUAACCAAAUUAUUUUUGGUCAUAAAUAUAUCUAUUCUUAAUGUAUAUAGUACUUUCAAAACUGCUAUGCUGUGAACGACAGUUAAAAUCCUGAAGUUCCUUACAGAAAUAAAAGCGCACACAGUGUUAAGCA
rnacentral:lncRNA from 1 species